rnacentral:lncRNA from 1 species
CAGCUCAUCACUGUAAGAGCCUGUGACCGAUACCAAGAUCUCAAUGACUGCCAGGGAAACUGGCAAUGUUCAAAGGCUGCAGCAAGUGCUCAUCUUUCAUCACUAGCCUCAGUGUGGUAUCUUCUGCAAUCCUUUUACUUUGUUAUCACCUUGCAAGAGCUGGGAAUGAUCAAACUUUACCAUGCUGAUUUCUGAGUGCAGUCAAGGGUGAUCCUACUUUGUUUACUGUCACGAUGCCAAAGUUCUUGGUUUGUGUGUUUGUUGUGACUGAUAUAAUACUUCCACACUGCUGCUUCACAGUUACUGUAGAGCAUCUUUUGACCUGUUAGAAGAAGGAAGUUGUUCCCUCUCACCAUAGAUCAGACUGCUCUAUCUGAGCUAUCAAAUAGGAGAGUGACUCUGUUUUAUGAUGAACAUGUAUUGAUGAUCCAUUUGAAUUUUGCAUUACAUCUAGCUUAAGUUGAAGUACUACUUUCUUCCUUUUUCUUUGUGAUCUGUUAUACGCAUAAAUUAACAUUAGAAGUGUCCACUGAAUGAGGAUCAUGCAAUCUUCAAAAGACCCAUCAAAAAGAUGAAACAAUAUGCAAAUGUGCCACUGGCUUUACCUGUUCAUCCAUGGCAGUAGCUAAGGAAUUCUCCUGUCUUGUUAUCUUCAAGCAAUCAAUCUAAAGCAGUGUGGAACUGUGGGUGUCUUCAGUAUCAGAGAUUCUUUGGCUGUCUCUGCUGCUGCUUCUCCUGCACCACAAGUUUGUGUGGAACUGUGGAUGUACUGCCAGAGCUUCUUUGGUUGUUUCUACUGCUGAUCCUUCUGCACUGAAAGUAUAGUAUGGAAGUGUGGAUGUCCUCAGUAGCAGAGCUUCUUUGGUUGUUUCUGCUACUGCUUCUUCUGCAUCAGAAGGGUAGUGUCGAACUGUGGAUGUCCUCUCAGAUCUUUGGUUGUUUCUACUGCUGAUUCUUCUGCAUCAAAAUUACAGUGCUGAAGUGUGGAUGGGGUUAAGUAGCAGAGCUUCUUUGGUUGUUUCUUCUACUGCUUCUUCUGCAUCAAAAAUAUAGUGUGGAACUGUGGAUGUCUUCAGUAGUAAAGCUUCUUUGGUUGUUUCUGCUGUUUCUCCUGCUGCUGACUGUUCAUCAAAUGUAGGUUUGGGACUGUGGAUGUCCUCACAACCAGAACUUCUGUGGUUGUUUCCUCUGCUGCUUCUUGUUCAUCAUAUGUAGUGUGGCACUGUAGGUGUUUCUGCUACUGCUGCUUGUUCAUCAAAUGCAGUGUGGAACUGUGGAUGUCCUCAGCAUCAGAGAUUCUUUUGGUGGUUUCUUCUGGUGCUGCUUCUUUUUCUUUUUGCCUUCAUCUGCCUUAAGACAAAGGAGUGAAGCUGCACCAUGAAUGCCUCUUUCCAUGGGAUGAAAGAAAGAAACUCUUGCCAUUGAUUGUAGCUUUGAGGAACAGCUGCAUAUAUCAAGGUUCAGGUGGUAACUCUUGUGAGCAGGAAGAAGCCUAAUUGCUCUUCUUUCUUACUACUUGAUGAUCAUGAUAGAUAAGGAUUCUUCAUCCUGUCUUGUAAUGAAAGUUCAACAUUGAAAUAAUAUUGAAAUCAGACUUGUCUUUUGUGCUUUAAUAGCAUGGAUUGAACUAUACUGAAACAAUGUUUAAAGUAAUUUUGAGUGCAUCACUUGGGAUUCAGAGUGAUAAAGUUUGAAU